UGGCGGCGUGCUUAACACAUGCAAGUCGAACGGUGAACACGGAGCUUGCUCUGUGGGAUCAGUGGCGAACGGGUGAGUAACACGUGAGCAACCUACCCCUGACUCUGGGAUAAGCGCUGGAAACGGCGUCUAAUACUGGAUACGAGUGGCGACCGCAUGGUCAGCUACUGGAAAGAUUUAUUGGUUGGGGAUGGGCUCGCGGCCUAUCAGCUUGUUGGUGAGGUAAUGGCUCACCAAGGCGUCGACGGGUAGCCGGCCUGAGAGGGUGACCGGCCACACUGGGACUGAGACACGGCCCAGACUCCUACGGGAGGCAGCAGUGGGGAAUAUUGCACAAUGGGCGCAAGCCUGAUGCAGCAACGCCGCGUGAGGGAUGACGGCCUUCGGGUUGUAAACCUCUUUUAGCAGGGAAGAAGCGAAAGUGACGGUACCUGCAGAAAAAGCGCCGGCUAACUACGUGCCAGCAGCCGCGGUAAUACGUAGGGCGCAAGCGUUAUCCGGAAUUAUUGGGCGUAAAGAGCUCGUAGGCGGUUUGUCGCGUCUGCUGUGAAAUCCGGAGGCUCAACCUCCGGCCUGCAGUGGGUACGGGCAGACUAGAGUGCGGUAGGGGAGAUUGGAAUUCCUGGUGUAGCGGUGGAAUGCGCAGAUAUCAGGAGGAACACCGAUGGCGAAGGCAGAUCUCUGGGCCGUAACUGACGCUGAGGAGCGAAAGGGUGGGGAGCAAACAGGCUUAGAUACCCUGGUAGUCCACCCCGUAAACGUUGGGAACUAGUUGUGGGGUCCAUUCCACGGAUUCCGUGACGCAGCUAACGCAUUAAGUUCCCCGCCUGGGGAGUACGGCCGCAAGGCUAAAACUC
rnacentral:rRNA from 1 species